CUUGGUCCUUUGUAACAUAAUGGGUGUGAUUCCCGACUAAGAAUCGUAUAAGGUAUUACACACAAAACAAAUGCAUUACCUCGCCAACAAAGUAGAGGUUUUUCAAUCAUAAGUAGAUAUCUGUUUUUUAUACAGAUAAUGGCGUUCACUAUUAGGAGAUAAAAAGUAAACAAACCGUUAUAAUUAAUUAAUUAAUAAUUUACAUUAGUAAUGUAUUAGAUAUGUAAAGUAUUAUUUCAUCAGCAUAAUGAUGGUAAGUAUAUAAAGAAACUAUUACGGAUAAAUAAGCUAUAUAUUAAAGACGAAUUAAAUAAAGUGUUCUUGGAAAAAUCCAUUUUUUAAACGAAGCGAAUUGAAAUAUCUUAGUAGCUUCAGGAAUAAAAAUCAAAUGAGAUUCCAUAAUUAGCUAUAACUGUUAUGGAAAAGCCUUUAAAGUAAAACGGAAAUAAUCUGUUUGAAUUUAGGGAAACCUUUCUCUAAGGCUAAAUAUAAUAUAUAAGCGAUAGCGAAGCAGUACCGUGAGGGAAAUUUUUGAAAUAGUAGUUUUAUAAGCAGCUCAAGUUUAAUUUAAAAGUAUAAUGAGAGCGUACCUUUUGCAUAAUGGGUCAGCAAGUUAAUGUUAGAUGCGAGAUAAGGUUCAGAAAAAAUUAAGGAGUAAAGCUUAAUUUAUUUUUAGUGUAAUGCUAAAAGUAGAUUAAAAAUGAAACCGAAAUGAAUAAGGUAAUUCCUUGUCCUAGAUAAACCAAUUAUUAAUCAAUGAUUAAGUAUCUAAUGUUAGACCCGAAGCCUAGUGAUCUUACCAUGAUCAGGGUUAUAAAGGCCCGAACGGGUUAUCGUUGUAAAGAUAUCCGAUGAAUUGUGGUAAGUUAGUGAAAGACAAAACUGACUAGGAUAGCUGGUUUUCUGCGAAACCUAUAUAAGUAGGUAAUGUAAAUAACAUCAUAGCAGGUACAGAACUGUGAUCUCGGACAAAUUAUGUUGUUUUCUUAUGGAUAGCAAUAUGAUUUUGUAUACAUCGGGGAAUCGUGAAGAUUUUAUCGGCGAGAAUUUGCUCUCGGAAGGGCAAUGAUGGAUUUUGCAUAAUCGGACAUAGUACGAUAAGGUUGUAUGUCUAAAGGGAAACAGCCCAGAACAAGAGUUAAAGGUUCCAAAAUUAUUGUUAAGUGAAAAUAAGGAAGUUUUCUUCAAAUACAACCAGGAAAUAGGCUUAGAAGCGGCCAUUUUUUGAAGACCUCGUAACAGAGCACUGGUUUAACAUUAAAAGUUGAAAGCACCGAAAAUUUAACGGAUCUAAAACAAUAUACCGAAACCUUGUCUAUAAAUAAAUAUAUUUUUAACGCAAAACUUUUUUUUCUUAAGUAUUUUUAUUUAUGGGGUAGCAGAACGUUGGGCAUGUCUUAGACUUAGUAUUUUUAAUAUUAAGUAGGUUCGACGGCGUAUUUAUUAUUUUAAACAAGUAGGUUAAACGCUUAUUUGUUUGAGGUAAUUAAAAAACCCGUUGGAUAAGAUGACCCCAAGUGAGAAUGCUGGCAUGAGUAACGAAAAAGGGAUAGCCCCUCGCCUUAAGCUUAUGGUAUUUAAAUAAAGUAACGGCCUCUAAGUUUAUAAUUGUCCUAAAGGAUUAAACGAUGAGAAAAUCUUUAGAUAUGUCUAACAACAUUGUGAUAUUUUGAGUACAUAAUGUUCUGGAAAAAGACAUAUUAAUAUUUAUAACCAGACUGAAUGUUUUGGUCCCUUCGUGGGAAUAACAUAUAAAUAUUUACAACCGUACCUAGAUACUACCACAAGUAAGCAAGUAGAGUAUACAAAGGCGUUUGAGUUAACAAUCAUUAAGGAACUCGGCAAAAUGACACCGUAACUUAGGGAUAAGGUGUGCCAUUCUUUUUAAGUAAUAUUAAGUUAAGAAUAGGAGGCAUAGAGUGGUGUUGUACGACUGUUUAAUUAAAACAAAGCACUUUGCAUAAGAUGACAAAUCAAAGUAUUGAGUGUGAAUUCUGCCCGAUGUUGGCUGGUUAACGGAUUUUCUUAGCCGACUAAAAUAAGCUAGGUUUUGAAGGAAACCCCAAUCAAUGGCGGCCUUAACGAUAAGGGUCCUAAGGUAGCGGAAUACCUUGGCCGUUAAAUGCGGUCUUGCAUGAAUGAUUUAACGAUACAACAGCUGUCUCAAUGAUUGGCUCAGUGAAAUUGGAAUAACUGUGCAGAUACAGUUUACCUCUAGUUAGACGAGAAGACCCUAUGCAGCUUUACUGUUUGUAGUUAUUGGAUACAAUGGAACAAGUUGUAGCGUAUAAGGUAGUUGAUAAGAUACAAUUGAAACACCUUUACUUAGUUUAUCAUAUCAGUAGAAUACCGCGAAAGCUAUACAAACUACUUCGACCAAGUAAAAUUGGUCGAUGGAAGAGUAAAGUAAGUAGGUAAAAUCUACAUUACUUAUAAACUUUUGUGAUGCGAUAUAUUUGGAAACAUUUGCUAUUAGACAGUUUAUGCGGGGCACAGAUCCCACAAAAAGUACCUGGGUGUAUCCAAAGUUAAUUUUGUAAAUUUAUUGGCAAUAACAAUUUGCCAACAGAUAAAUGCAUUAUAUAGCAAAAGCUUUUGCUCUUGCCUGUAUAAUGUAUUUUUAUUUUAAUCUGUAAUGUAUUGCUUUCAAUAUAUUCAGUUAUUUAUCUAUUAAGUUAGAUUUAUUUAUUUUUUUUAAGUAAGAUUUUAACUAUAUGGAGAAUAGAUGUAAAUAAAACGCUAACAAUCUUUAGCGCUAUGCGAUAAAAAGAAUUAGUAGUGUUUUAGUUUAUUUUCUUAAUAUGCUUUAGAUAUUAAGGAAAUGAUUAUUAUUUUUACUUUAAAAGUUUAAUGGCUUAAUCUUGCUUUACUGUUUGACUUACACGUCUAUCAGUUGCGUAAGCAGGGCAUAUGAUCACAUAAGGCUAAAUAUAAUAUAUAAGCGAUGCAUAAAGGAAAGGUCUUGGAUUUUUGAAAAAGCUACGCUAGGGAUAACAGGCUAAUUGCGCCAGAGAGUACAAAUUGAGUGCGCAGUUUG
rnacentral:rRNA from 1 species